AUUAAACGCUGGCGGCAUGCCUUACACAUGCAAGUCGAACGGCAGCACGGGGGCAACCCUGGUGGCGAGUGGCGGACGGGUGAGUAAAGCAUCGGAACGUAUCCUGGAGUGGGGGGGAUAACGUAGCGAAAGUUACGCUAAUACCGCAUAUUCUGUGAGCAGGAAAGCAGGGGAUCGCAAGACCUUGCGCUCUGGGAGCGGCCGAUGUCGGAUUAGCUAGUUGGUGGGGUAAAGGCCUACCAAGGCGACGAUCCGUAGCGGGUCUGAGAGGAUGAUCCGCCACACUGGGACUGAGACACGGCCCAGACUCCUACGGGAGGCAGCAGUGGGGAAUUUUGGACAAUGGGCGGAAGCCUGAUCCAGCCAUGCCGCGUGAGUGAAGAAGGCCUCGGUUGUAAG
rnacentral:rRNA from 1 species